rnacentral:rRNA from 1 species
AGAGUUUGAUCCUGGCUCAGAAUCAACGCUGGCGGCGCGCUUAACACAUGCAAGUCGAACGAGAAAGGGGAGCAAUCCCCGAGUAAAGUGGCGUACGGGUGAGUAACACGUGGGUAAUCUGCCUCUGGGUGGGGAAUAACUCUGGGAAACCGGAGCUAAUACCGCAUAAGCCUGAAAAGGGAAAGGCGCAAGUCGCCGAGAGAGGAGCCCGCGGCUGAUUAGCUGGAUGGUGGGGUAAAGGCCUACCAUGGCAUAGAUCAGUAGCCGGCCUGAGAGGGCACACGGCCACACUGGCACUGAAACACGGGCCAGACUCCUACGGGAGGCAGCAGUGGGGAAUCUUGCACAAUGGGGGAAACCCUGAUGCAGCGACGCCGCGUGAGCGAUGAAGCCCUUCGGGGUGUAAAGCUCUUUCGGCAGGGACGAUAAUGACGGUACCUGAAGAAGAAGCUGCGGCUAACUACGUGCCAGCAGCCGCGGUAAUACGUAGGCAGCGAGCGUUGUUCGGAGUUACUGGGCGUAAAGCGUGCGUAGGCGGUGGUCCAAGUCUGGUGUGAAAUCUCCCGGCUUAACUGGGAGGGUGCGCCGGAAACUGGGCCGCUGGAGUACGGGAGAGGCAAGCGGAAUUCCAGGUGUAGCGGUGAAAUGCGUAGAUAUCUGGAGGAACACCCGUGGUGCAGACGGCUUGCUGGACCGUGACUGACGCUGAGGCACGAAAGCGUGGGUAGCAAACAGGAUUAGAUACCCUGGUAGUCC